rnacentral:lncRNA from 1 species
AUACAUCCUGUCAACUCUUAUUUUGUUGCCCUUAUCAAUGGCCAUGACUUUCUAAGACUGCUUGAGACGUCGUACAUGAAUAUGAAAUUCCUCGGAGGUGUACACUGAUUGACAAUUUGGUAAAAAUUUGUCUUUUUGUUAUUGUUUUGUUUUCUGUGUGUAAAUCCGAUCUGAUAAGUCAAGCCCUUUCAAACUGAUUUGUACGAUGAAAAAACAAGAGACCUUCAACAAUGAGUAAACCCCAUAUCGCAUGAAUUGUGUAAAGGUUGCACACGCCGGAGCUUAUUUUUUAUGGAUUUGGCUAAUGUUAAAGGAUGUAUGAACGGUGCCUGCAAUUGUUCACACAAUGGGAAUGCGUUGGCAAAAUAAAAAAAAAAUCUUCAUAUUUUUAUAUAAAAUUAUAUACAUCAACAUAUGCAAAGCUCUAAAUCGUAUCAUGGACUAGUCUUUUAAAGUUGUUAUAAAAUUCAACAUAAAAAAAACAGCGACUCUGCAAAUAAUUGAAAAUUAAAAUUUGAACUUAUAAUCAGUUGCUGCACUUCAAAAAAGAUUUCAUGCAUCAACGCCAUAAACACGCAAUACCACGAAAAUUGAAAUUAUGCCGCGAUUCCCGAAUGACUAAAAUAAAAUGUACAGAAUCAAAACAAAAAUGUAUUGUUGUAUUACUUCAAUCUAUAAAUAACCGAAUUGAUAUUCAUCCCCUACAUAUAAUGAUGCUAAUAAGUAAGAUAUUUAAGUUUAAUCCAAUCGAAAGGAAAGUAACCUUAUUGUAUCGGAAACACUUUACUUAUAUACAUGUACGUAUAAAAUCUUGUCGCUUAUGUAUUUCCUUUCCUCUUGAGACUAGCUGUGGGGUGAUCUAAAGUAUUUCCGAUUUCCAAGUUAUAAAUAGAACACCAUCAUUAUAUGAAACAAAUUAACAUAUUUUGAUAUUCAAUGUAUGUUUAUUUUGACAAGUCCGUGGUUGUUUUAAUCAGGUGUUUAUAUUCUUUCAUUAUGCACCCCAAAGGGUUGGCUGGUAUGCUGACUCUUCCGAUCCGACAAGUCACAUUAAAACCCUUGCUAAUAAAUAGGUUGUCCGUUUUGUUUGCUGGCUGUAUAAAUACGCAGCCACGCCUCUGUGCGUUGACAAUCUUUUGUUACAUCAUCUGCAUACGGGGUCUGUGGCCUCUUUGAAAGAAAAAUAUAUGUCCCUAUAUAAUAUUCCUGCAUUUUUCAUUGGCACUCCGAAAUCAUCUGCCUUUUCAUUCAGGUCUGUAUAUAUCUUGCAGAACAUACAUAUUCUAUUGAUUUUUAAUGUGAUAUUGUCCGAAACAUACAUGAAAUAUUUGCCACUGGUCAUUAAACAAACAUUUAUCAAUUAUUAAUUCAUAUUGAAUAUUGGUAUUGCUGAUAUGUAAGAAAAGUAUUAUUUGAAUUCAAACUGUAGUUAUUUUUGACUCAGAUGAGACAUGAAGCUGGACAUUGGAAUUGUUACAAAUGACAAGGAAUAAUAGCAAAUGGUUAUACUAUAAUGAAAUAAAAAAUAUAUACAUGUAAAAUUGAGAACGGAAAUGGGGAAUGUGUCAAAGAGACAACAGCCCGACCAUAGAGAAGACAACAGAAGAAAGUCAUUAACAGGUCUUCAAUGCAGCGAGAAAUUCCAGCACCCGGAGGCGUCCUUCAACUGGCCCCUAAACAAAUAUAUAUACUAGUUCAGUGAUAAUGAACGCCAUACUAAACUCCAAAUUGUACACAAGAAACUAAAAUUAAAAAUAAUACAAGACUAACAAAGGCCAGAGGCUCCUGACUUGGGACAGGCGCAAAAUGCGGCGGGGUUAAACAUGUUUAUGAGAUCUCAACCCUCCCCCUAUACCUCUAGCCAAUGCAGAAAAGUAAACGCAUAUACAAUACGCACAUUAAAAUUCAGUUCAAGAGAAGUCCGAGUCUGAUGUCAGAAGAUGUAACAAAAGAAAAUAAACAAAAUGACAAUAAUACAUAAAUAACAUCAUACUACUAGCAGUUAACGGACAUGCCAGCUCCAGACUUCAAUUAAACUGAUUGAAAGAUACAUUUGUAUCUAUAUAUAUUAAACAACAUAUAUUCAGUCUAUUCACUAUUCCUUAUAAUGAACUAGUCUAUGGACUUGAAAAAGUUCAGACAUUCGUAAUUUAACCAGAGAUUGACAAGAUAGGGCAGCGAAUCAGUUUGCCAUACAAAACUGAGCAGUUUGAUGACAGAAAAAUAAACGCAAUGAAGAUUUCAAUCCAAAUCCAUAAUUACAUGUAGCAUCUUCUGAAAGGUUUGCUGCAUCUGGAAAAUAUGAGAUGUUGUUACUUUUUCGGUAUUAUCAAAACUAAUAGUUUUUUUCUAGAUUAAGUGAAAAUAUAAAAGUAACAAUCUGGAAAUGAAAGCGAGUCGACUGAUGGUCUGACUAACUGAAAAACAGAUAGAAGGCACGUCUAUAUAACCCGCUACCUCGUAGUGAUAUACAUUUUUUAUUUUGCCCCCAUUUUUUUCAUUUAAGGAAGUUUUGUUAUGAAAUCAUAUAUCAAUAUUCACGUAAAUUCCCC